AAUUUGAAGUCAGGUAAUGUGAUUCCUCCAGCUUUAUUACUUUUGUUCAGGAUGGCUUUGGCUAUUUUGGAUCUUUCAUGGUCCCAUAUAAAUUUUAGGAUUAAUUUAUCUAUUUCUGUGACCAAAUUAAUAGCAUAUAGUAGCUCAUAAUCAUUUCUAAUGAUCCUUUAAAUUUCUAUGGUAUCAAUUGUAAUGUCUCCUUUUUCAUUUCUGAUUUUAUUUGUUUUGGUCUUCUGUUUUUUCUUAGUCUGGCUAAAGGUUUGUGAAUUUUACCUUUUUUAAAAUUAUACUUUAAGUUCUGGGGUACAUGUGCAGAACGU
rnacentral:lncRNA from 1 species